rnacentral:rRNA from 1 species
GACGAACGCUGGCGGCGUGCUUAACACAUGCAAGUCGAACGGUGAAGCUCCAGCUUGCUGGCGUGGAUCAGUGGCGAACGGGUGAGUAACACGUGAGCAACCUGCCCCAGACUCUGGAAUAAGCGCUGGAAACGGCGUCUAAUACUGGAUACGAGAUCAAGCCGCAUGGUUAUGGUCUGGAAAGUUUUUCGGUUUGGGAUGGGCUCGCGGCCUAUCAGCUUGUUGGUGAGGUAAUGGCUCACCAAGGCGACGACGGGUAGCCGGCCUGAGAGGGCGACCGGCCCAACCGGGACCGAGGCACCGCCCAGGCUCCUUCCGGGGGGAGGAGGGGGGGAUAAUUGAAAAAGGGGGGAAGGCUGAAGGAGGGACGGCGGGUGGGGGGAUGACGGCCUUGGGGUGGUAAACUCCUUCAGCAGGGAAGAAGCGAAAGUGACGGUACCUGCAGAAGAAGCACCGGCUAACUACGUG